ACUGGUCUGCUUUGGCCUCUGGAG
rnacentral:piRNA from 1 species